GACGAACGCUGGCGGCGUGCUUAACACAUGCAAGUCGAACGGAAAGGCCCUGCUUGCCGGGUACUCGAGUGGCGAACGGGUGAGUAACACGUGGGUGAUCUGCCCUGCACUUCGGGAUAAGCCUGGGAAACUGGGUCUAAUACCGGAUAGGAGCCAUUUUUAGUGUGAUGGUUGGAAAGUUUUUUCGGUGUAGGAUGAGCUCGCGGCCUAUCAGCUUGUUGGUGGGGUAAUGGCCUACCAAGGCGGCGACGGGUAGCCGGCCUGAGAGGGUGGACGGCCACAUUGGGACUGAGAUACGGCCCAGACUCCGACGGGAGGCAGAAGUGGGGAAUAUUGAACAAUGGGCGCAAGCCUGAUGCAGCGACGCCGCGGGGGGGAUGACGGCCUUCGGGUUGGAAACUCAUUUCGCUAGGGACGAAGCUUUUUGUGACGGUACCUAGAGAAGAAGCACCGGCUAACUACGUG
rnacentral:rRNA from 1 species